AACGAACGCUGGCGGCAGGCUUAACACAUGCAAGUCGAACGCCCCGCAAGGGGAGUGGCAGACGGGUGAGUAACGCGUGGGAACAUACCCUUUUCUACGGAAUAGCUCUGGGAAACUGGAAUUAAUACCGUAUACGCCCUACGGGGGAAGGAUUUAUCGGGGAAGGAUUGGCCCGCGUUGGAUUAGCUAGUUGGUGGGGUAAAGGCCCACCAAGGCGACGAUCCAUAGCUGGUCUGAGAGGAUGAUCAGCCACAUUGGGACUGAGACACGGCCCAAACUCCUACGGGAGGCAGCAGUGGGGAAGAUUGGACAAUGGGCGCAAGCCUGAUCCAGCCAUGCCGCGUGAGUGAUGAAGGCCUUAGGGUUGUAAAGCUCUUUCACCGAUGAAGAUAAUGACGGUAGUCGGAGAAGAAGCCCGGCUAACUUCGUGCCAGCAGCCGCCGUAA
rnacentral:rRNA from 1 species